rnacentral:misc_RNA from 1 species
ACAGAUGAAGGCGAUUACCAGGUCAAACUGCGCAACCUGCGUCGCUUUCUUGAGGGAGGUGACAAAGCGAAAGUCACCGUGCGUUUCCGUGGCCGAGAAAUGGCACACCAAGAGUUGGGUAUUCAGUUACUAGAACGAAUUAAAGUCGAUCUAGACGAAAUAUCUAACUGCGAGGCUUUCCCUCGUCGGGCUGAAGGUCGCCAAAUGAUCAUGGUUUUGGCACCGGAAAGUAAGAAGUAGCAGAGGUUUACAAGUAGAAGCUAUGUCGGCUUCUCACCCUGUAACUCAAUUGGCAAUCAAUGCGGAGUUUUUGUAAUGCCAA